GCCCGAUGAACCUGAAUAUCCAUUAUGGAAAAUUCAUCAUUAAAAUUGUAAUAUUUAAACAAUAUUAUGAGAAUAGUGUGCAUUUUUUCCAUAUAAGGACAUUGUAAUCUAUUAGCAUAGCACNAAAUUUAUCAUAAAAUAUGGCUUAUAGUUUAAUCCAAUUAAAAUGCUUGCGUUUUAACACAGAUUAAAUGUCAUUAAUUUGAUAAAGUGUUGAUAGAUUUAUAUGAAUACAGUGCGUUAAUUUUUCGGAAUUAUAUAAUGGCAUAAUUAUCAAUGAUUUUUGUGUUUAUUAUAAGCACUUGUAUGAUUAACAAUGCGAAAGAUUCAGGAUACUUCGGG
rnacentral:rRNA from 1 species